GUGGGGAAUAUUGGACAAUGGGGGGAACCCUGAUCCAGCCAUGCCGCGUGUGUGAAGAAGGCCUUUUGGUUGUAAAGCACUUUAAGCGAGGAGGAGGCUACCGAGAUUAAUACUCUUGGAUAGUGGACGUUACUCGCAGAAUAAGCACCGGCUAACUCUGUGCCAGCAGCCGCGGUAAUACAGAGGGUGCAAGCGUUAAUCGGAUUUACUGGGCGUAAAGCGCGCGUAGGUGGCCAAUUAAGUCAAAUGUGAAAUCCCCGAGCUUAACUUGGGAAGUGCAUUCGAUACUGGUUGGCUAGAGUAUGGGAGAGGAUGGUAGAAUUCCAGGUGUAGCGGUGAAAUGCGUAGAGAUCUGGAGGAAUACCGAUGGCGAAGGCAGCCAUCUGGCCUAAUACUGACACUGAGGUGCGAAAGCAUGGGGAGCAAACAGGAUUAGAUACCCCUGUAGUCC
rnacentral:rRNA from 1 species